CUUCGUACUCAAGUCCCUGUUCGGGCGCCAGGUGUCCUGACCCGGGCAGGAC
rnacentral:miRNA from 1 species